AUACGGAGGAUGCAAGCGUUAUCCGGAUUUAUUGGGUUUAAAGGGUGCGUAGGCGGUUUGCUAAGCGGGAGGUGAAAUGCCGGCGCUCAACGUCGGAAGUGCCUCCCGAACUGGUGGACUGGAAUGACUCUGCCGUGGGAGGAAUGUGUAGUGUAGCGGUGAAAUGCUUAGAGAUUACACAGAACACCGAUUGCGAAGGCAUCUCACGAAGGGUUGAUUGACGCUGAGGCACGAAAGCGUGGGGAUCAAACAGGAUUAGAUACCCUGGUAGUCCACGCAGUAAACGAUGAUGGCUAACCGCUGGUUUUUUCGGAUCAGUGGCCAAGCGAAAGCGAUAAGCCAUCCACCUGGGGAGUACGACCGCAAGGUUGAAACUCAAAGGAAUUGGCGGGG
rnacentral:rRNA from 1 species